UCGGCCAAUGCGUUUGACCACAGCAAUCUGCCUAAAGAAAGGAGAUAUGAUGUCCAUUUGGCUGACCCACAUUUUGAUUUACUUCACUGGGUUUAAAUAGAUGUUGAUGCCAAACCUCAAGCAGUUUGGCUAGUUGUGUUCAAGGUUGAGGUUCUUUUCAACAACCUGCUGCUGAAAGCAUCCUUUCACUAGGGUGCCACUGACAGUGAUGAGAGUGGGAUGGGAGCGGACUGAAAGGGGAUUUUAUUACAUAAAAGCUUUAACCAUCAUGCACACCAACUUCACACAACUUCAAAGACGGAACACCAGCACACAUUAGGCUUUUAAUUUUUGUAUUAGACCAGAUGACAGUACAUUUAUUUUGGAAAAUAAAUACAGUAGUUGAGAACCUUGAGGUUGUAAUAUCCUCAUGUAUAAUGGAACAGCAAUUAUCUACAGUAACGGUUUGUGUUACUGGUAUGUAGA